UAAAGGGAGGAAUCCGCUUACAGAGGGGCCUGCGGCGCAUUAGCUAGUUGGUAAGGUAAAGGCUUACCAAGGCGAUGAUGCGUAGCCGGACUGAGAGGUUGAACGGCCACAAUGGAACUGAGAACGGUCCAUACUCCUACGGGAGGCAGCAGUAGGGAAUUUUCGGCAAUGGGGGGAACCCUGACCGAGCAACGCCGCGUGAACGAAGAAGUUAUUCGUAAUGUAAAGUUCUUUUAUUUGCGAAGAAGAAAGUGACGGUAGCAAAUGAAUAAGCUCCGGCUAACUACGUGCCAGCAGCCGCGGUAAUACGUAGGGAGCGAGCGUUAUCCGGAAUUAUUGGGCGUAAAGGGUGCGUAGAUGGCACAAAAAGUCUUGUGUAAAAAUGCUAGGCUCAACCUAGUAGAGCAAAAGAUACUUUUGAGCUAGAGUAUGGCAGAGGCAAGUGGAACUACAUGUGUAGCGGUAAAAUGCGUAAAUAUAUGUAAGAACACCAGUGGCGAAGGCGGCUUGCUGGGCCGAUACUGACAUUGAGGCACGAAAGCGUGGGGAGCAAACAGGAUUAGAUACCCUGGUAGUCCACGCCCUAAACGAUGAGUACUAAGUGUU
rnacentral:rRNA from 1 species